rnacentral:tRNA from 1 species
GCUUAAGUAGUUUAGGUAAAACGUAAGAUUUUCAUUCUUAAUUCAGAAUUUGUUUCUCUUAAGUU